ensembl:snoRNA
CCUCCCCCUAGAGGCAUUGCAGGUGUGGCUGCUGUGUCACACAAGUGUGUCAGAAGGUGGCAGAGAGGAGAGAGGCUGUGCUCAGUGUUCUGACUUAUACACAUUUGAAUAAUUAGUAGCCUAACCCG